UAGGGAAUCUUCCACAAUGGACGCAAGUCUGAUGGAGCAACGCCGCGUGAGUGAAGAAGGUUUUCGGAUCGUAAAGCUCUGUUGUUGGUGAAGAAGGAUAGAGGCAGUAACUGGUCUUUAUUUGACGGUAAUCAACCAGAAAGUCACGGCUAACUACGUGCCAGCAGCCGCGGUAAUACGUAGGUGGCAAGCGUUGUCCGGAUUUAUUGGGCGUAAAGCGAGCGCAGGCGGAAUGAUAAGUCUGAUGUGAAAGCCCACGGCUCAACCGGGGAACUGCAUCGGAAAAUGUCAUUCUUGAGUGCAGAAGAGGAGAGUGGAAUUCCAUGUGUAGCGGUGGAAUGCGUAGAUAUAUGGAAGAACACCAGUGGCGAAGGCGGCUCUCUGGUCUGCAACUGACGCUGAGGCUCGAAAGCAUGGGUAGCGAACAGG
rnacentral:rRNA from 1 species